CUAAGGUCAUAUACAGCAGAGCUAUGAGACUAAGGUCAUAUACAGCAGAGCUAUCAGACUAUGGUCAUAUACAGUAGAGCUAUCAGACUAAGGUCAUAUACAGUAGAGCUAUCAGACUAAGGUCAUAUACAGCAGAGCUAUCAGACUAAGGUCAUAUACAGCAGAGCUAUCAGACUAAGGUCAUAUACAGCAGAGCUAUCAGACUAAGGUCAUAUACAGUAGAGCUAUCGGACUAAGGUCAUAUACAGCAGAGCUGUCAGACUAAGGUCAUAUACAGCAGAGCUAUCGGACUAAGGUCAUAUACAGCAGAGCUAUCAGACUAAGGUCAUAUACAGCAGAGCUAUCAGACUAAGGUCAUAUACAGUAGAGCUAUCAGACUAAGGUCAU